CACAGCAAAAGUCACUUUCCUUUUUGAGCCGUAGGGAUUCGUGGGAGCUUCCAGUCGUUUCUGGAGAGGUGUUCAGCUGUCAGCUCUACGCCUGUUGUUUGUUGCGCCACCCUUUUACGCACAGUACCUCCCAGCCCCCUAAUCAUGUCUUUGGGACGUUUCCUGGUCGAGAAGCACACUAGGAUCGCUGCAGUGGUCUUCCCAGUGUCUUUGCUUGGAGGCCUUGCUUACACAUUGAAGACAGGAGAGUCCCCGCUUGCAGACGCCAGAGACUGGGUUCAAGGUGUGUGCAUGGAUAAGGUCGCCCUGUUCCUGUACAGUAUUGUCUGCCCUGGCUUCAUGCAUGCCGAAAGAGUCUCUUGAUGGCGUUAUUAACCCAAGAGUGCACCUUCGUGGCUCCCCGUGCCCACUGUACCCUUCCUGUCACUGCAUUUCAGUAAAGCUGUGCAGACCCUCAAAGAGAGGUCAGGCCUAUGGAUGGGCUAUCUAUGGGCUAUCCAACAGAUUUGUCUUGAUGCAUGACAAGGUUCUCUUGUGACGUGCAGGCAAGGACCCUCAGCACAACAUGUACACCUUGAAUUUUAAAUUGGGUGGCAUCGGCAGCAAGUGAGCAUGCGUGCUCCAUUGUCAACGAAUGACCAAUGGCCGGGAGUGUCGCACGGGUUUCUGAUGAUAUGUACUUGAAAAGCAGCAUUUGCUGAAAUUUUGGUCGCGAGGGCUGCCCCUUCUAGCAGUCUCUGUUUCAUACAGCUGUAGACUUGUACACACUGUAGAAUUAUGCCUGUCUUUAGCGGAAGAUCAUGGCAAGAUUUUGAAGAGGGAACAGCCAUGCAAGAAGGCUGUCAGAGUUUGAGAGAUAUACACGCGCAACCAAGGCGCAAGAGGAUGUCUGGAUCCUGAAGUUUUUGUGAAGACCAGCCAGAGGUUGGUCAGUCUACUAUGAGUGUGCUGGGGUUUAAACUUUUUGAUCGAGAGAGUUUCCUGGGCAGCAGAAGAGAGAUGCAGAGCUUGAACUGAUGCAGCAAGGAACUUGCCUGUAUAUGUGUGGCCCCGUCUUGAGGACACAUUUUGGAGAAUUUGACACAGGAGUGUGAGUGUGGAGCAUCAGGAACAAAGUGAAUCCUGCAGUAUAUGAGACGUGAUGAUGUUGGCAGCUGUACAUACAUCUGGCAUUGAGUUUGACAGUGCCAUUUGGAUCUGUCUAUGCUUCUGCUGUGAUCUGAAGAAACAUGUUGCUGGCAAUUGGAGGUUCAUACAUCUGAAUGCUGGAAUGACAUUGAAAAGGUAUGCAGUGGCAGACUUGUUGUGGCCCUCGCAUCACACGUUUGUGCGAGGAAUUUUACAAAAGCGUGCAUACAAAUGCAAAUGAUUGAUCCAGCCAGUGUUCUACCAUAUGUGUGUGGAACGAGUUGUGCGCGUCCCGUCAAAGGAAUGAAACAGCAAGGCUUUGGGUGUAACCAAUACUUAUUUCAUGAAAUUCUCGCGAAGUUCUUGAUCCAGCGCUAGCGCUGUUGACGAGAUCAUUGGGCACAAAUACCAUGCGUGAUGGCCACAUAAUUUACAACAAUAUCACCAAGUUGAGGGAAUCCAAUGAAGGCCUACUCGCAUCGCAUGUUGCAACAGAUGUGUUCACAUAGGAAGAGCUGACCGUGCCAAUUCUUGCGUGAAUGAAAGAACCUUGGCCACACCACAAGCUCAUGGAAUGCUCAUGGUGUUUCCCCUGACUAUAUACAGACCCCAAAGAGGGCCCUCUACGGCAACACAUUUGCAAGAGCCUUGCCUAAAGCUGACAGGCUCUUGACCAUCUCAUCUGAUCUGGUGACAUCAAAAUUUUAAACUGAUCACCCCAGAAACAAUGACUGAGCUGCUGUCACGUCGGUCUCCCUUCCUCUGGCUUAAUCUAAGCCUUCAUGGUGCUAGCGCUCAGCGAUCCUCAAAAUGCCUCUGGUCAUGACACACUGCAUCUGUCAAACAAAGACACACAGCCACUGACCAGUAUCGUCCAAAGGUCAUAUCAGUGUGGCCCUUGACAGAGGGCUGUCAAAAGAUAUCACCCACACCAAUUAAUAGCCAAGAGCCGUGCAACACAGAAGUUAUCAAGUCUUGCAGAUCAAGUGUCGCGCACAGCAAAAAGCCUUGCCUUGCAUUUCCAAGGGACUUGCGGGUUUCUGCUGGACAUUACUAAGUCAACCAACUGCUCUUAUGAGCACCCAAACGGCCCCAAAAGAUCACCAGAGAAAGGCGGUUUUAGGAGUAUCUUAAAGAGCAAAUGCUCCUCACUGCUUGCGCAGUGCUUGCAAAAGAUCAAGUCCAGCCAACAAAGAAUUGUGAAGCUUGAUUUCCUAGGACAUCAACACCGCGACAAGCCCAGUGAUUUUCCCAGUGCACAUCCCUACAAUCUGGGCAUGCACUGAGAUAGCUCACAUCUCACGUGGCCAACACCAAGGCUUCGUCCUGCCGCGUUUCACACCGAAUAAAAAGAUAAGUAAAUGGUCUGGAUGAGAUGUCUAUACAUUCCAAACCCAUGGCAUGAUGGGCGCUAGGAGGGUAUACAAUAAAUGCUACCUAAGGAGAAAUCCACCGGUUCAAGUGCCUGACAAACUGAGAGCCAAAUGAAAGGAAACAGGAGUACUCAAUUACUAGAUUUGACCCAAUGAUUAGACUAUGACCACUUCACAUGCGUACAGCCACCAAGCGGACCCCAGAAUUGCCUCUGGAUGUUUAACAAGGACGAGACGACUCAACCUUGACUAGAGAUCACUCCAGACUGAUGGCCGUUGCUCCUUACUGUUUUGGCCCUUUUAGUGAAUAGAUCGUCACAGGCAACCCCACGUCCUUGGGAUUCCUGAUCAUUCAGAAUCUAGUGAGCGCUUGUGGCAAUCCAGGGAAUAAAUAUCUGCUAAUAUGCAGAAAGGAGAGUCUUGGCUUGCCUCACCAGUCGCCUUCCCUGGACUCUGCACAACUGGCACGGCCAGAAGAGAAAGAAUAAACCAGGUAGUGCACGACAGCUAUAAAGUACCUGUCUAGUCCCCCCAAAAGCAUCCAUUUAGGUGGGCAUUACUCCCCUAUUCGUUGCCCAAGCUUGGCUGGUGGCUUUUCCCAAUACAAGCGCUGCAGAAAAAUUUGGGAUCCUUCUCAUGCCCAGAGAAGCACAAAUAUGGCGGCCCGGCGUACAACUGCCCAGGCUCCUGCCAAUGAAGUAUCCUAGUCCCCCAACGCUCUGCAGCCCCUCUGCAACCCUGCUGACACAGCUGCAAACAUGCCCUUGUGUAAGAAGCACCUGCACACUGCUCUAAGAGGGACUGAGAGGCCGCAGCACCUUCAAUCCUCCAACUCUAAGACCCCCCAGUUUGUCUAAGACCCCCCCAAUAGGUUCUAUAACUCCAUAGGGCACAGGCCUGUGCCUCACGCUGAAUCCCCCCACUCCCCUGACCUUCCCUACCGUAGGAAGGUCAGGGGAGACCUUGUCGACCCCUGGCCAUUUCACCCCAACUUCUCUAGAGCGCCGAGAGUCUCAGCAAGCGCGUCGCCCGUGAGGGUGGGAGCUUCUUCUACCUGUUGAGAAUGGCCCACUUUGCGGCCAAGGUAGGGGCUUUGCCGCUGCCUUGGCCCUAGUAAAGUGCCACGUUUGCGGCGUGGCCAAUGGCUAGAGAUUAUUGAAUGAAAUUAUGAAACAUU
rnacentral:lncRNA from 1 species